CUCCUCUUCUCAACACUCUCCUUCUCUUUUUCCACUCUCGGUCUCUUUCUCUCCAUCUGUGUCAGAGGAGGCUGCUACGACUCAAUCAGGCUCACAAAAACGCAGAGGAGCUCCCACUCUUUGUCUGCCUCACUCAGAAAUCUCUGGGUGGAUGCCAACUCUCCUACAGCAGUGAAACACCUGCUCCAGCAACAAGACGUGAUAUGAGCCCCUAGCUGGAACUGUAGAGGCAGCCUUUCACAGGCAUUUGGAUGAAAUGUGAACCGGCAAGCUGGAGGACAGAACCCCAGAAAACCGAGAGAGAAGUGGACAUGAGAGUAAUGCAGAUAAUGCUGGCUCAAUUUGAGUUUAGUGCUUUAUCUUUUUCAAUGCAAGUCACAAAAUGCAUCUGCCAUUCCCUCUACAUAAGUCAUACGAGACAUACAGAGCUUUUCACAAUGUGUGGGACUUUGCUUAUCUCUAUUUUUUUGUGUGUUUUUCUGAGUGGAUGGAGAGUUUUAUCCAGUAAAAAGGUCAGGCGGAAGCAAGAACUCUACAUCAACACCAGAUGGACAGAACAUGUCAUUGUUGAGUCCAUGAAUUCAACUAGAAAAAACUGUCAAGGGGUUUAAACUCUAGAACUGGGUUCAGCACAUUAACCCUCGUGUUGUCCCAAGGGUCAAAUUGACCCGUUUUAAAGUUUGAAAAUGUGGAGGAAAAAUAUAUAUUGAUGUCCACAUUUUCAGCAUUUUGGGGAAUUUUUUGAACAUUUUUUUGGUGGAAAGAAAGAAAUGUUAAAAAAAUGUUUCUUAAGAACAUUCACUUUUUGUGAAUGUUCUUAAAGAAAACAUUAGAAGUUUUACUGAUAUAUAUGUAGUCACUUUAUAUAUUUUUUGAAAAUAUUUCCAAGAAUUUUCUUGUCAAAUUUGGGGGAUUUUUUAAAAUAAAACUUUUAAGGGAAACUUUUAAGGAGUUAUUGGAAUUUUCUUCCUGAAGGUUUUGCAAAUAUUCAGAAAUUUGGAGAUUUUUUUUUUUUUUUUGUUGAAUUUUUAAAUUUUUUCAGACAAGGAAACAAUUUUUUUGGUGCCCGUAAAUGAAGACAACAGGAGGGUUAAAUAAACACCGACUCAUGCACCAACUCUAUCAUCUAACUUCAUGGGUACAUUUUUUUGGAUAAAGUAAUUAAUUAAGACAUCCUCUGCAUGUGCACAAAGCCAAAUUUGAAUGCACUGUUGAUAUUUUUUAAGGUUAAAUGCAGAUAUUUUCAGUAAUUACUCCUAUAAUAUUGCAGCAUGGAUGCACAUAAAGCAGCAGGCAGGUCAGUAAUGCACAUUAGUUAUAUCAAUUCUCAGCCUCUCCUACUUUGUCUCCUAAUUUACCAUCUUGUCCCUACACCUUUUCUCCUGUAUCACCAAAGAAAACAACCUUCCAUUUCCACGUGUUGCUCUCUAAUGAAAGCUCUAUGUUCACUUAAAUCCUGCUGCACACACAGCUGUCAAUGAAAGAGAAGGAAAUGCAUUAAGAGAGACAGGACAGUGUGUGAAGAGCGGCACAAUGGGAAGGAUUGAUUCAUCCGACCUUCAUAGAUUUAGUGCAAGUCAAGAGCAAGCAGCAUGUGUACCUUCAACGCCUAAAGACCGCAGCGUACGAGUUCUAAAUUAACACUCAACAAGACAACCAAUAAAGAAACUUUUACAUUAGUGUGUGUCAAACUUUGCUGUGUGAACAAGUGCCCCGGCUGAAAUAGUUUCAUGUCUCCGUCUGAUAAGUCUUUUCACUCCACUAAGCUUGUUAAAAUAUGUGUGCACCUUUAGAAUGAUUACACAGCUUCAGAAUCCCUCACAGGUAUUUGCUGGUCCUUCACCCUAGCCGUCACUGUUGUUUUAACUCUUUGAAUUUUUGACGUUGCUAUUUCUGCUUUCCCAGUGUUGCAGUUACCUUCUAAUCUUUGUGUACCCUCAGUGCAGAGUGAAUUUGCAAACAAUGCCAAGCAGCAGUAACAGCUGCUUUGUAAUAGACGCUGUUUUGGGCUCUUUUUAUGGGCAUUUUGUUUGAGCAGGUGAAACUUUUUAUUAGUAUAUGACUGUGUGGGAACCUCUCUUGCUUUUCUUCGAGAGUUCUGAAUUUGGGUUUAUAUUAGAGACCUGGACCAGGAUAGUCGUGCCCGGAGAUGACACAGAACUAGAUCUACCAAGACUCGACUUAAACAUUCAGUAUUUAUUUACUUUAGUUUACUGAACUCAGCAGAUGAAGCGUGCGAUAUAAAACAUGCAGUCUGUUGCGUGUUUCAGUUCAUGUCUGAUGCCAGGCCUUAUUAGCCCCCCCCUCUAUGACAUCACCCUGUCUGGAGUGAGGUACGUAAUGGACCUUCAGAUGUCUUUAGACAUUACAACAUACCCCUUAUCUCCCCUCCAGUAAAACCCUUUAAAAAAAACAGUAUCCAUGCAUAUUCAUUUAAACAGUAUGAGCUGAAUCACAUGAAUGGCAUGUUUGUAAACAGAGCUCUAUGUGCAUAUCUCUCAGUUCACUGCACAAGCUGGUUUUCAGACUUUCCGUCCUCACUCAAUACUGCAAAUGCAUAAUUCCAAGUGAUACUGUAGCAACACAUUUUCUUUAUUUAUAGCUAAUAUUGCUUUAGUGCUGUAGCCUGUGCAUGUGUUGCUAUUUAUUGCUUGUAAUAUUAGUGAAAAGUUCAAUGCUCUUCUCUGGAUAGGGCAUAAAUGUCAACAUGCUUAAUUCAAGCAAUGAAUAGACUGUUAAGACUUUAACCUUUAUGGAUGAGUGGAUGGAAAUAGAUGCCAAAAUCGAAAACUGGCAGACCAGUUUGCCACCACUUGUGCAGGAGCUGCUUGAUGUUGGUUGGCCACUCUUUGCUGCUAAUCAGAUUGUCACAUCAGUACCAUCAAUAUAUGAUACGUCAUUUUGAUGCCAGUGCCUUAAAGGUUCAAUAUUGUGCCCCUUAACAGCAUAUUAAUCAAAGUGUCACAGUUUGUUUGACAAUUUGUCUUUAAAAUUUUCAGCUCAAAAUACUGCAAAGAUGGUUAAUUUCAUUAGGACUGUAAAACCCCUGAUUUAAGGCUGUUCUAAAUGGUUUGUUUUGAUCUAAUAACCAAGAAGAUGCUGCUGUUCCCGCCCCUUUCAGGAAGAACACUGCAUGUCUGUGAUUGACAGUCAGAGCUAGACAGCUAUUUGCUAGUUUGGCGUUACAUAGCACCUGGGUUACUUGUAAAGCUGUGAGGCUAGUAUUUGUAGGGUAGCCUGAGGAAUGGCAGAAGUAGAAGUUUUCAUGUCUUACAGCUUUUCUUUUGCACCCCUAAGUUUACAACAAAAAACAACAGAAAUGGAUU